rnacentral:rRNA from 1 species
UGGGCGUAAAGCGCACGCAGGCGGUCUGUCAAGUCGGAUGUGAAAUCCCCGGGCUCAACCUGGGAACUGCAUUCGAAACUGGCAGGCUUGAGUCUUGUAGAGGGGGGUAGAAUUCCAGGUGUAGCGGUGAAAUGCGUAGAGAUCUGGAGGAAUACCGGUGGCGAAGGCGGCCCCCUGGACAAAGACUGACGCUCAGGUGCGAAAGCGUGGGGAGCAAACAGGAUUAGAUACCCUGGUAGUCCACGCCGUAAACGAUGUCGACUUGGAGGUUGUGCCCUUGAGGCGUGGCUUCCGGAGCUAACGCGUUAAGUCGACCGCCUGGGGAGUACGGCCGCAAGGUUAAAACUCAAAUGAAUUGACGGGGGCCCGCACAAGCGGUGGAGCAUGUGGUUUAAUUCGAUGCAACGCGAAGAACCUUACCUACUCUU